AGCUCCAAUAGCGUAUAUUAAAGUUGCUGCAGUUAAAAAGCUCGUAGUUGCAUUUCCGAGGCAAGGGAUUAGUCCGACCUUUGGUGGGUAUUUAAUCCUCUUGCCUCGUCCUUGAGUGGUGCUUCUUGGUAUUAAGUUAUCGAGGAGAUAGCCGCUCAUCGUUUACUGUGAGAAAAUUAGAGUGUUCAAAGCAGGCUUAUGCCGUUGAAUAUAUUAGCAUGGAAUAAUAAGAUAGGACCUCGGUACUAUUUUGGUGGUUUGAGAACCAAGGUAAUGAUGAAUAGGGACAGUUGGGGGUAUUCGUAUUCAGUUGUCAGAGGUGAAAUUCUUAGAUUUACGGAAGACGAACUACUGCGAAAGCAUUUGCCAAGGAUGUUUUCA
rnacentral:rRNA from 1 species